rnacentral:lncRNA from 1 species
UGGCUCUACCUCCAGCCCCUUCAUAUUCCGUAUCCUGCUGCUUCUUUGCUUGCUUUUCUUGAUCAGGCAAGAAUAAUGACUCCAACAGUAGUAAUUAGUAUUGAUAUAAUAGAAGUAAGUAGAUCGAUCAAAUACCCAAACUCUGAGGAAAAAUCAAUAUCUUGAGAGAGAGAGAGUAUACCCUCCUCCAGUUCAUUGUACUUGAACCUCAGCAAUAGAAAUUAAAAUAAUAAAAUAGAGGACUUUUGAUAGAAUCUUGAAAGCAGAGGACCUCGUUGCGUUCAAAGAACCCCAAAAUCACCCUACUUAGGGGCAUGGUGGUGUCCCUUUCGUCUUAGUGAUGAUCCAGAUCUGCUAAUGGGAGUUGGGACUCUAUUCUACUUGAAAGAGGUUGACUGACUGUGAAAGAUAAGCUUUAGAAUUUUGAACUAAAACUCACUAUGCGUUCAGAUAUGCUGUCUUACUUCACCUUUUACAAAGUCUUCAGAUUUGUUCUGCAUGGAAAAAAGAGGACAAUUCAAACACUACUAGAUAUAGUAAGGUCAGUUUGCUAAAUGUUUUGAGUUAAUAAAUGAUCCUGGACUAUGGAAAAAAAUAAGACUUAAUGAGACCUUGUCCGAGUAAACCUAAUACCUGGUGUCCAUUGAGCUUGUUGUUUUGAUCAACCAAAAUCCAAAUGUCAUAUAAAGGAUAUAUCUUGAUGGAAGUUUAGAAAUAUGAUUAAAGGUUGGGUGUGUUGAAUCAUGAAUCUGAAAGUAAGUCUGGCUUAAAGAGUUCCAAAUGGAUCAGAUGUUAAGUGUUUUUAUUUUAUUUUUAUUUUUUGUUGAUUCCUGGUGUUUUCUUUGAAUAAUGUUUUAUAUCACUAGUAAAUAUAUGUAGAUAAAAGCUAUAGGAUGCUCUAUGUUGUGUUACUGGAUGUGAGUUAUGCUCCUCUAUGAUGGGAGAAUCAACUACAUGACUGUCAUUAAUUCAGUCUUGUGCUCAAUGAGUGUUGUGACGCCUGUAUAGCAUGCCCUGAACCUCUAUAUAUGCUGUACAAUUUGCUCUCAAUCUUUAUGAGUACUCUGACAGAGUUUUCUUUCCACCUAUUUUGCAUCCCUACAUGUACAACUGCCAUCUCAUACCUCCAUAUCUUGUCCUGUAUGUAUAUUAGGAAAUCCUAGUAAUCAAGUCUGCAUUUGAUGGAAUCUGAGUUUAAAUUUGCUUUGAGUAUUAUUUGAAAUCUACUUUGUUAAAUUUGAUUAAACAACUUUUUGUUUUUUCCUUUUUCUAUGAUUGAAUAUAAGAAAACCAUUUGCCUGAGAGUCUCAUCAAAUGCUGAACUGGAUCAUGCACUGAUUGCUAUGUAAUUUACCUCGUUCAAUUUUUGAAUAGAUCUGAAAAAUUCCCCAACUAAUGCUGAUUUUCCCAUUCUGCUGUCAAUUCUAAAGUUCAGACCCAGCAAGCUUAUUUUGAAUGUUUCACUCUCUAAAUUCUAUUUUGUUGUUACUGCUGCUUAUAUCUGAUGUAUCAUUGUUGGGCCAGAAGAUGUUAUUUUCAUGGCAAUACUAUUGGAAAAAGAAAAAGAAAAAAAGGAGUCGUCCAGCAUAGGGGUGAAAGUGGACCGGGCGAUAGCACUCUAGAUCCGUUCCCAUAUCCAAAUCUACUUGGAUAAGCUUAUAAAUUUGGGCAUGCAAUUAUUAUUCAUAUUCGUAUCAAUAUCCAUAAAAAAAAAAGGAUGCAGAUAUAGAAAGACAACUGUACAGCCCGUAUCCAAACAUCUGGUUGUAUUUGUAAUCCUAUUUAAUCCUAAAUAGCACCCAUGAACUUUUCAAAGAAAUAAGUGGCCAUAUUAACAUGUUAUUGACUUAAUUUACUUUCCAUUCAGUGAUUUCUUUAUGUGGUGGUGAUAAAGAGAUUAACUAUCUGACUUAUAUCCGUAUUCAUCCAUACUUUCAAUAUCUAAUGUAUAUCUAUAUCCGUUUAAAGCAAAUA